rnacentral:miRNA from 1 species
CGUGUGUGUGUGUGUAUGUGUGUAUAUACAAACAUGCAAAUAUAUGUGUACAUGCACGCAUGCACACAUACACACACA